UUGAGUUAUAUUUUAGAAGUGCCUAGACAAAAUGUGCUCCUUGUCGUGUGCAGUAACCAUCGCAAACCCUCCGGACUCGUGUAACGCCGUUAGUUCGCCGUGUGUUUCGUGCGAUCUACCAGUGUCGACAGUGAGUGUCUUACUACAGCGCCCGUCCGAGCUGCCUUUGUUCUGCCGAGCUGCCUGCCCGCGCUCCCGUGAAAAGUCUGGUACUGGAGCUUCGAAUCGUAGUGUAUGGAAGGCUGUUGAAGGUUGUGCUUUUGUGGAGCUGGAGUUCAUCGGAAGUUCUACAGUGCUUGCGCCAGAAAGACGUCGGUGCCUCGGUACCUUUGAGACGAAGGAGCGUUGGCCAAGUCUUUUUGAAAGGCUAUGCGGAUUCUGGAGGCAUCCCUACAUCGAGCAGGAACCUGCUGCACUGCUGGAAGCUGGACAGCACGACAAUAAAGCACGUGAUCUGUGUGCUUUCUCAAAGGUAGACAUCGGCGACGGUGUAUAUG